AACAGGAAGAACAGAAUCUCCUUUACUAGACUGUUAACUACAGAUCAGAAAAUGAGGCAGAAGACCACAUCCUAAUUCCUGACAGCCCACAGGUCAGCAACAGUGUGCCAGUGAACACACAGUGCCACUGAGCCGCCCUGUGAGCUGUGGAGUGACCAGAAAAUUUAAUGCAUGUUGCCACCCAGAAGCACUGUGCAAAGACAGUUCUGGUAAUGCAGUGAGUUGCUUCCUCAGGUAGACCCAGGGAAUGUUAACAGUCUGAAACAGACUAGAUCCUGAGAUGAUCUGAGCAGCUCCUGGAAGGGCUGAGGAUCCUUAGCUCCUGGAAGCAAUAGAGUGGAACAUAUCAAAGGAAAACUGUUACAUUU